rnacentral:rRNA from 1 species
AAGUCGAACGUGAAAGCACUUCGGUGUGAGUAGAGUGGCGGACGGGUGAGUAACGCGUGGGAAUCUGCCCAGUAGUGGGGGACAACUACCGGAAACGGUAGCUAAUACCGCAUACGCCCUAUGGGGGAAAGGCUUCGGCCGCUAUUGGAUGAGCCCGCGUCAGAUUAGCUAGUUGGUAGGGUAAAGGCCUACCAAGGCAACGAUCUGUAGCUGGUCUGAGAGGACGAACAGCCACACUGGGACUGAGACACGGCCCAGACUCCUACGGGAGGCAGCAGUGGGGAAUAUUGGACAAUGGGCGAAAGCCUGAUCCAGCAAUGCCGCGUGUGUGAAGAAGGCCUGCGGGUUGUAAAGCACUUUCAGUUGGGAAGAUGAUGACGUUACCAACAGAAGAAGCACCGGCUAAAUCCGUGCCAGCAGCCGCGGUAAUACGGAUGGUGCGAGCGUUAAUCGGAAUUACUGGGCGUAAAGCGCGCGUAGGCGGCUAAGUCAGUCAGAAGUGAAAGCCCCGGGCUCAACCUGGGAAUUGCUUUUGAUACUGCUUGGCUAGAGUUUGGUAGAGGAUAGUGGAAUUCCAGGUGUAGCGGUGAAAUGCGUAGGUAUCUGGAGGAACAUCAGUGGCGAAGGCGACUGUCUGGACCAAAACUGACGCUGAGGUGCGAAAGCGUGGGUAGCAAACAGGAUUAGAUACCCUGGUAGUCCACGCCGUAAACGAUGUCAACUAGCCGUCGGGUCUAUUUACAGACUUGGUGGCGCAGCUAACGCGAUAAGUUGACCGCCUGGGGAGUACGGCCGCAAGGUUAAAACUCAAAGGAAUUGACGGGGGCCCGCACAAGCGGUGGAGCAUGUGGUUUAAUUCGAUGCAACGCGAA